rnacentral:rRNA from 1 species
GGAGUUAGCCGGUGCUUCUUCUGCGAGUAACGUCACAGAUGUAAGGUAUUAACUUACACCCUUUCCUCCUCGCUGAAAGUGCUUUACAACCCGAAGGCCUUCUUCACACACGCGGCAUGGCUGCAUCAGGGUUUCCCCCAUUGUGCAAUAUUCCCCACUGCUGCCUCCCGUAGGAGUCUGGGCCGUGUCUCAGUCCCAGUGUGGCUGAUCAUCCUCUCAGACCAGCUAGGGAUCGUCGCCUAGGUGAGCCUUUACCUCACCUACUAGCUAAUCCCACCUGGGCUUAUCCAUCAGCGCAAGGCCCGAAGGUCCCCUGCUUUCCCCCGUAGGGCGUAUGCGGUAUUAGCAGUCGUUUCCAACUGUUAUCCCCCACAAAUGGGCAAAUUCCCAGGCAUUACUCACCCGUCCGCCGCUCGUCAUCUUCAAAAGCAAGCUUUUGAAAUGUUACCGCUCGACUUGCAUGUGUUAGGCCUGCCGCCAGCGUUCAAUCUGAGCANANACAACUC